GGGUUGUGAGGUUAAGCGACCAAGCGUACACGGUGGAUGCCCUGGCAGUCAGAGGCGAUGAAGGACGUGCUAAUCUGCGAAAAGCGCCGGUAAGGUGAUAUGAACCGUUAUAACCGGCGAUGUCCGAAUGGGGAAACCCAGUGUGACUCGUCACACUAUCAUUAACUGAAUCCAUAGGUUAAUGAGGCGAACCGGGGGAACUGAAACAUCUAAGUACCCCGAGGAAAAGAAAUCAACCGAGAUUCCCCCAGUAGCGGCGAGCGAACGGGGAGGAGCCCAGAGCCUGAAUCAGCAUGUGUGUUAGUGGAAGCGUCUGGAAAGGCGCGCGAUACAGGGUGACAGCCCCGUACACAAAAGCGCAUAUGCUGUGAGCUCGAUGAGUAGGGCGGGACACGUGGUAUCCUGUCUGAAUAUGGGGGGACCAUCCUCCAAGGCUAAAUACUCCUGACUGACCGAUAGUGAACCAGUACCGUGAGGGAAAGGCGAAAAGAACCCCGGCGAGGGGAGUGAAACAGAACCUGAAACCGUGUACGUACAAGCAGUGGGAGCCUCUCUUUAUGGGGGGUGACUGCGUACCUUUUGUAUAAUGGGUCAGCGACUUAUAUUCUGUAGCAAGGUUAACCGCAUAGGGGAGCCGAAGGGAAACCGAGUCUUAA
rnacentral:rRNA from 1 species